rnacentral:rRNA from 1 species
UACGGAGGGUGCAAGCGUUGUUCGGAAUCACUGGGCGUAAAGCGCGUGUAGGCGGCCUUUUAAGUCUGAUGUGAAAGCCCGGGGCUUACCCCCGGAAGUGCAUUGGAGACUGGGAGGCUAGAGUACCGGAGAGGAAGGUGGAAUUCCUGGUGUAGCGGUGAAAUGCGUAGAUAUCAGGAGGAACACCGGUGGCGAAGGCGGCCUUCUGGACUGCACCUGACGCUGACACGCGAAAGCUAGGGGAGCGAACGGG